CCUCUGUUGUUCUUCAAGUUUUUCCACGGUCGUGUCUUCGAGCCACUUUUGCACAUCUAGAAAGAGCUCGUCCGAAUUCCUUUGAGCUGCCUCCGCUAAGGUUUGUACUCUUUGUCUUGUUAGUUGUAAUUCUGAAACUUGGCUUCGAAGAUUCUGAAUGUUUGUGUUGUAGCUAGUAAGAUAGCGAAUUUGUUGCUUAAGAGAACCAAACAAAUAUUUCGCAACUUCAUUGAUAGGCGUAACCACAAUGGCCAGAAUUUCCAAAGCCAUAGUUUCCUGCCAUGACAGAGAAUUGUACUAGUUUUUCAACAAGAUGACAUAAAAAAAUGAAGAAAUGUAAUCUCAUUUAAUACACCUGAUAUGAACUAAAUCUUAUACAUAAAAAAAAGUUAGUAUAUUGUUCUACAGACGCCUUUCAUAUCAUCAUAUGAUAAAUGGAAAGGUGAUAAUAUGAAUGUUCCAAGAGGCCAUAUAGUUAUGCAGUGUUUGAGAAUUCUACAGAUCAUGUGAACAGUAGUAGCAACGAUUAUAAAAAUUUACAAGAAUUCCAACUCUAAAAAAUUACUUCAAAUUUAACAGAUCUGACAUUUAGAAAACCCAGUACCUACAAAUAAAUCAACGAGCGUUUUUUGCAACACGUACCUUAUCAGAAAAUCCACUUGAACCGCAAUGAUAAGUGCACUUGAACCGCAAUGAAAAGUUUGAAGCUAAGAUGAAGAAGAAGAAGAAGAAGAAGGCAGAGAUGUUCAGAGAGAAGACUAUGGAGAGUCAAUGAUAGAGAGCAUAUAGCGAGUUCAGGUAUUUCCAAGUAAAAACAAUUGAAGUUUCCAGGCAGACGGAUAUGGAGCCCAUUUAUAGUUAUUUUAAUUUUGCACCCUUGUAAAAUAUGGAAUUUUAGAGAAAGAAAUUUGGACUAGGCACCCACUUAUUGUGACUUUAUCGAACUGCUAAAUUAUUUCAAAUUGGAUGGUCUUUUUAAUUAUUAAUUAGCUGGUUUUGUCUGGAGUUUAUAUAAUUAAUUAAUGGCCAUGGACUACUUAAUUAUUUCAAAGGGCAACUUGUUCCUUUUAUAACAUUUCUGUGGUUGUUGGAUCUUGAUUUCCUUACACACGCAAACAUACUAACUUGUGCUUGUAUAAAGUAAGUUGUAUAUGUUCUGGUCUUUUUCCUGCAUCACAUAAGAGAAAUUCCAACUCUUUCUAGGGAAAUUCAGCGUUCGGUUUGACCAUAAUGAUUUUUUUUUUUCGCAAUUUUACUCCCAUUCAAAGGUUCUGCACAGGUCUUUCCUUCGUUUUUGCUGCCGCUGAAGUGAGCAUAAUUGUAUUAAUAAAAGAAUGUGUGACAUUCAAGCUGUUUACAUAGACACAUAGAGGGAACGCUCGCCACUCUCACUAAUCAUCUGCACAACUUACUCAUGCAAUUAAUUAAUCGAAACGAUACCAGUGUACAUGUACUAGUCACUAAUCAUCCAACAAUUUUUUCGACAAUCUGAUAUCAAAUGUCCAACAGAAACCCACUCUCCCUGACACAAGCAUCACAUUAAAAAGAUGGACAUCAUUCAGGAUAAGAAAAAAAGGUGAAGAGAAGAAUAUAUUGCAAACGAGGUGACCAUAAAUUCUUAUCCUCUAACCAGUGUAACAUUCCAACAGUUGUUCCAAACUUGGCUUCCACUCCUGGAAUACCAACAUAUGUCUCCCUUGAUCCUUCCUAAUCAUAUCCACAUUAACAAGUGAUACAUAUAAUUUUUCACUAAAAUCUUCACUUUCUAGGAUAUUCACAACGACUAAUUAAUUGCAUCAUAGGUCAUCAUGUACAGCAGGUUUUGGGAAAUAGAAACAAAGAAAUAUGACAGACUACGACAAUGAAUAUCCAAACAUGAACGCAACAUUGACACCGUAUGACAUUGUUUUACAUUAAACCAUUGGCAGUUUACCAUUAUAUGAAUGAUUAAUUAACAUAGUGAUUCGAUUUUUGCGAGUAUUUUUUUUCUUGCAUUCAAUCAAACACAAAGCAGUUUAUCAGCUAAAGAACACAUAAAAAAUCCCCAUUUUUUGAAAAUCAGAAAAUAAAUAUAAAACAUCCAUCGUUAGUUUUAUUUUUUUUGUUAGUUCAGAAGCAAUGUUUUAGCCCCAAAUUCUGAGAGAGAGAGAGAACAACCUUGACUUAGAAGAAACAAGCCAGAGAGAACCAACAGCCUUCACAUAUAUAGCGGGUGAAUAUAGUCACCAACCUUUUUAUAUAUAUUAAAUAUAAAUAUGUGAAGAUGAAGAGUGUCAAAUUAUGUAUAUACUAACUAUUUUUGAUAAAAUUACUCGACCUUCAAAUUAGUUUCUAGUGUCAAAAUCUUGGUAAAAUCCGUUUUUUCAGAAUUCGAAAUUUCACUCAAAAUAUGAGCAUUUUGGACUAUGGUUAGGUAUACAAAGAAACAUGUAUGCAUGCAAAUAAAAUUAUGAUCAUACCAUAGUACAAAAUAUCUCGCGAUAUAUAUAUUAUUUUCUGACAAAACAAUACGAUAUAUUCUCGAUAGUUACCAUUUAAUGUUUUUGUAAAAUAUCGACCGAUAUUGGUUGAUAUUUUCUGAUAUUUUUUGGAAAUUUUUUUUUUUUAGAAAUAAUUUGCUUAUUCUAUUUUUAGUAGAUAUGAUGUUUUUUAGGUAAAUACUAUGAUAAUAUACUUCCAAAUUUGAUUUUAUAUAUAUUUUGUAUAACAAAUGGAUAUAUUAGUCGAUACAUUCGAUGUAAAAUAUCCACCGAUAGAUUCCAAUAUAUCCUGAUAUAUCUAUUUUUGGGAGAUCGAUACAUUAGUCGAUACCAUAUUUUGUACUAUGGAUCAUACCACUUGUCGACUUGUUGUAAUGUCUUAAAUGUUGGUAUGAUAAUACAGUUCUACUGGAAUGUGAUAAGCAGGAGGUGGAGAUGAAAUAUGUUAACAGCAAGAUAAGCAGGUGAUGAUUAUGCAGAAUAUAUUCUUCAGUUCUGAAAAUGGAUAAAAAAGGAGGUAGGGAGAAGGUCAUGGUUUAGAGUUUAGAGUUUUAGGUUAUUAAGUAUGAAUAGUUGUAAUGCGAUGAUGAUAACUCGAGUAAGAUUAACUGCACGUAUGAUUGUAGUAAACUCAUCGAGACGACAUUUAGCAUCACAUUCUGAUAUGGAGAUUAUGACGACAUCGUCGUUAUAUAUGAAUAAAUUUGAUCCUGUAAUUGAGAUUGUUCAUAGUGGGAAGGUAUGUGUAAUUUGUUUAGAUGAUAUGAAAGAAGGUGAGGCCGUAAAAGCACUUGAAUGCAAGUGAUUGACAAUAUAUGAUGUGGCAAUUGUACAUGGUUAUGGAUAGAGAGCGCUUACAACCAGGCAACCAGCAAUCCAAAGAUACGAAUGUUCAAACAAUCUAAACCAAGUGGGGGAGAAGAACAAUGACGACAUAACAACCUAUACAUCAUCACACAGAUGUAGAAUGAAACAUAAAUUACGAGGUCAAGGAUCAGCAGCAGAUACCCAGACAUUCUAAAUUUAUAACACAUAUGUACUUGAGACACAACUAAGGAAAAAAUGUAACUGAUGUAAAUGUUCACAAAGGCUCAAUUCUAAUAAUGAUUGGUAAAACAAGAAAGUCUGAAACUCUGAACAAUCUACAAGACUACAACUGAUGAAUAUUAUUUCAACUUCAGCUAUAUUUAAAGAUAAACAAUAAGUCUGAACAUAUAACUCCGAGCUUCCAAUAUCUUGUUACUCAACCUGGGGGACUGACUGAUGUCAUGUGCAUAAUGUUUGAUGUUGGGUUUACAUAAGCUAUGAGUCAUAGCUACAAUAGUACAAAAUAUAUAAAAAUGAUGGCCAAAGAAGAUGGAAGAGAUUAUGAACUGGAAACUUCCGAAUUGUGCGACGUUCCUCCUAUAACAAGUAUAUAUUGACCAUUCAUUCUAUUCUUUAUAUUGGUAGAUCAUCUGUCGAUCUAUCACUUGUAUCACUCAUAUGGAUUCUUAAAGUUUUUCAGGAGUUCUGGUAUAUCAUAACCCAACAUAUCAUCAACAGCUUGUACCAUCUUUGGCUUCAGCUUCUCAAAUUUGUCGAUGCUGUAACCACUCAAAACCUCUCUGAAGUGUUCAACAUUUGGGAAGUCGCCUAUUGGUAGAUGAUGCUCCCUCUGGACCUGUUGACAAACAAGUAAUAGUUGUCAAAUGCUUCCAUUUUCAAAGCAAUGAGUACAUCAAUAAUAUUACUCGCAUCAUUGUAGUACCUUUGCAAAUUCAUCUUCAAGAUUAUCAAUGAGUCUUUGUUGGGCGUUAGCUUUGCCCAUAAUUGCAGGCAUCUCCUUUUUAAGAUGGCUCAUUAUAUAGGCAUGAAUCUUAGCAGCUCUAGCACGUUUCACAAAUUCAUUUAUCUGCAUUCAAAAAUACCAUUUAUGUUAUCGGGAAGAACAUGACAAAUGGCAUACAAGAUGGCUAGUUUUUCAGACAAGUAUGGAGAACAUACUUGACGAUCACAAGCCUUCUUUGGAAUAUCUUUCAGAUCGGACAGAAGGUCAUCUUGUUCUUUCUCAAAUAGCUCUUUUCCAAUUGGACCAAUUAGUGCUUCAUUUACAGGUUUGUCAUUUAAGGAGCUGUCCAGGUCAAAGAAAAUGUUAGUUUCUAGAUAAGUAGGAUACCUAUCUUCUCCUACAAUACCAUAUAUAAUGAUCAACCAGAAUAGCAAUGCAUUUAGAAUAGAUUCAGGACUAGGUAGGUUAUAAAAAAGGGUUAUACAUUUCUUCUGCUUCUUCUUCUUCUUCAAUUCUCAAUUACCAAAUCCCAUUAAAAAGGGUUAUACAUUACUUGAAUAUAAAAAGGGUUAUACAUUACUUGAAUAUUCAUGCAUAAGGUCAUAUAUUCAACAACAACAAAAUGGAAAUGAAUAUAAUACAUGACGCAUACCAUAUAUACAUCAGAAUAUCAGAUGCUUCAACCAAAUGAGACAUACAAAUACUUCAUUACAUCAUGAAUACGUGCACACUCUUAAAACUUAGCAGAGCUUUAGCUAAUAAGAUAUAUUAAUAGAUAGCAUACCCAAUAUAGACACGCAUGAUCUCAGGAGUAUUCAAAACUUUUCAGAGUGACCACAUCAAUGCUCCAUAAACUCUCAUCAGCUACAUAAAUAGAACAUAUUAGGAUAUUAUAGAUUAAUGUCAAUUCAAAUACAGAAAACGAUAUCUUAUUGGAUAUAAUUGACAGAUUUUCUUACUUGCUGUGUGUCCACUUGAUCAGCCUUAUUAAGAACCACACGUAUCUUGUCAUCAUGACCACGUAGAGAUCCAAUGACACGCUUGAAUUCAUCACUGAUGUCCAGUUUAUGAGGAUCAAAUAGAAGGAGAAUGAGAUCACAUUUUGCAGCAAGCCACGACGUCACCCCAGUGAAAUCAUAGCUUCGCUGCGUCCUUAAGAAAAAAACUCACUGGAUGUGGCAUUUGGGAGCACUGAAAUUUGGAUAAAAAUGCAGUUCCAAAUGUUGUAAGUCCACUGAAUGGCAUGUCUGCUUGAACAGCUAUAGUGUUGCCAGGAAUACUUCUUUCAUCUGGUCCUGACUGAUUGAGGUGAAAAUGUCAUGGCCAAGAGACAAAUUUGGUGGAAUGGAUAAAGAAAAGAUGGAAAAAACGCAAUAGAUGCACACUAGCUUUAGAAUGGGUUUUUUUGCUUCAGAGGAAAAAUUAGUAAAAUGAUUUAAAACUUACAAACCAAAUUAAGCUUAAAAGUUAUAUAUUUAACUUCUAAAAUCCUUAUGCACUACAAAAUCUAAAUGGCAAAGAACAAUCGUGUGAUCAAGUAAUGCAGCUGUUCAUAUGAAGACAACAAACACAUAUUAGCUUUGGUAGCUAGGUCUGACCCACCAAUUAUUAAUUAGCAUUCAGAUAGAGCAUUCUGAAGCAAACUCACUGAAAUACUAUCUUCUGGUCAAAAGAGAUCAUAGAAAAAUGUUUAUAUAUUCUGCAAUUUUCUAAGAUAAACAAAGUCCUUUUUCGAAAACCCUUGCAUAGUUGCAUAUGUUUGAUCUUAAAUUAAUGUUGGUUUUCAGAACAUCUAAUCAUUCUCUCAACAGGAAAGCAAAUAUUGUCAAGCAUGUACUCAGUAUUUCGUGAGAGCUUCUCCUUGAGUAUAAACCUUUGUGAAUCUUACUUUUUCAUGAAGAUUAAAGAGGGAUUUAUGUAUGCAUCUGUGAGAAGAAAUGGAAGUGUUUACCAUAACAACCACAAAUCUGUCAGUUGUAGGCUCCGGACCAAUGUUUGUCUGCCAAAAGAAACAAGAUGUUAAUAAAAUAACAUCAAUCCUUAUCUCCCAAAAUUAUUUCAAGGUGAGAGUACUCAAAAAUAACAUGCAACUGUACGUAUGUAAAGGGCACUAACCAGGGUAGGAGAGACAAGAUAUAACCUUUUUAAACCAUCAACAAUUGAUGUAACAGAGCUCAAGGAUACCUAAAAAAGGAUAAUAGCAGUCAGAAAAAAAAAUCUGAUAAGCCAUAAAGGGAUAUGCCCUGUCACAAACUGUAAACCAUUCUUUACUUUGACACAUAACACAGGGAAGGCAAACAUCAAGAAUACAGAUUAAAGUAAUCAGCUUGAUGAUUGAAUUGUUUGAUUAAUUGCAUAUUAUUAAAUUAAAAUGUUUAAUAAAUUUAAAAAAUGUAUUUGUGUACAAAGUUUUGAUCAUGAUUUAUGAAUCUGCUAUAGGAUCUAACUAGUAAUUUUACAACAGCAGCAUAUGUGUGUCUGCAUCAAACAUUAGUAGAAGCCUUUUGACACAGUAAUGUCAGGUACACUCCCUACCCAAGAAGAGAAGGAUGAAAACUAGGCCCUCUUUGUCGUUCUGCAUACCUUGUGUAACAAAUAUGUGUAUAGGAAGAGUUUACUGUGAAGUCAUGAUUCCUUGCAUAAAAAAACUCGCACUAAAAAACCUGGAUAAAAUAUUUUCAAGAUAAUGCAUUGAAGGCUGUUGUAUGGUUCAAAUUGGACCUCUACUGAUUUGCCUAAGCUUUUCAAGUCAGGCUUAGCAGAUAAAAUAUGAUUUCUAGCUAGGUUUAAACUCUGACUCGGGCAUGGCUUGGAAAUCUAUAAUUUAUGAUUUGGUACUGUUUAAAGCAAAUUCGAUUACGCUCUAGGCCUAUAGGUUUACACUUCAACUGCGCUAGACUUGAGGAGUUGAGGUUAUAACCCAAGAUCCGAAGGCUAUUUGGACAUCCUCAAGUUUGUCGUACUGAGUCCCUACAAUACUUAAUAUGUUCAUGUUACAGUUUUAUCUGUAGGUUAUUGAAGACCUAGUGUGUUCGAACACCACUGGUAUAUAUUGUGUUCAUGAAUAUAGACUGUGCAUUGUACAAAUAGAUUAAUAAGAUCACGGUGGACAAUUAUCAUUUGCAAAAGAUUCACAAUUUGUUUGACUACUUAAAGGUGUAGUUUUUCCAAAAAUUAAUUGAGUUUGGUUUGAUCAGAUCUUUAAGCCUCUGCCUUACCAGCAUCAUAUCCUUUUCUUCUCUUUUUGUAUUUUAAUCCUUUAGAAGUGCUCUACAAAUUCCAUGUCUGAGCCAUGGAAUUUUGCCUGCAGACUUUGAUCUCCCCAUUCUAAUUUAUGGAACCAAUCAGUUUCUGCUCAUCGCAAUCACAAUAACAACAUAACAAAGAAGAAAGCAACUAAAAGUUGUAAGAUUACACACCAGGUCAUCGCAAUCACAAUAAACAUAGACGAAACUACUCCAAAGAGUCUGAUGUGCUGCAAGUUUUUAAACAUCGCUGUCUGGAAUCGAAUUUUCCUUAUCAAGAUUUGAAUUACUGCAAAAAUGUAAGACAAGAACAAGAUGAGAAAAAUAAAAAGAUGUAAUUCAGAUUAAAGUUUACGGAUAUUACUAACUUGAAAUAGAGUAUAUGUCUGACAAACUUAACUGAGUAGCAGAGUAGGUAGACGGUACAAUGGUUUAUAGUACCAUCUCCUGUUAUUGAUGCUAAUUAAGCCUGCUGCAUCAAACAUAAUUUCUGUAAGUAAAGCUACAUAAUUUUAACACUGUAAAAUUCAUUUAGAAAGCAUUGAUAUAGGUUUUAUCGGUCAAAUAUAUCUUUAGAAAAAGAAUAAGAUAUAACUAAAAAAGCAAUGGCCGGAAAUCUCAUAGUCAUAGUCUCAUACACUGUCCAAUAUUUUCUACUGUCGAUUAUUGACAAUUUUUUUUUUUGUCGAUUAUUGUAGCAAAUCUCACAAUAAGUUUUGACUAAUAUCUGACAAUUCCCCAACCUAUCUUAAAAAUUUUCCAUUUGGAUAAUGAAAAGCAGAAAAAGAAAAGAAGAAAUCUAGUAAUAACUUUUAGCCAUCUUUUGAAAAAAAAAUAAAAAUAAAAUGUCAUAGCAGUAUUAUGGAUAGUAAAUCACGAAAUAAAAUAUUCAUAUGUCAGAAAAAAAUGGAAGAACAUGUCAUAGCAGUAUUAUGGAUUCAGAUAAUAAGAAGUUUGCAAUCUCUACUGGCACCCUAAUCAUGACCCAAAUGUAAAGCAUAUGUAAAAAGGAAGAAAAAAUAAAAUAAAUGAUCUACAUACCUCUUCAAAGAAAGGCUGGAAUAUUUCCUUAUGGCUUUGAUCUGCCCAUUCUAAUUCAUUGAACCAAUCAGUUUCUGCUUUGAAAGUUUGUAGAUGGGAAGCAGUUUGUGGUGCAAGGGGAAACUUCUUCAAAUUCCUACAUCCACGAACAACAAUCGUUUCCAAAGGACAACUGAUAGGUAUAUCGCCUUUGUAGAAGCUUGUUAGACUCCUCAAGUCCCACAAUUGGAGAGUUUUGAGUUGAGGUAACAAACAGGAAUGAUCGUCUGGCACUUCAUCUUCAUUUUCUCCUCCAACUAUUUCCUUCAAACUGGAGCAAUACUGUACAUGAAGAUGUUCAAGUCUCUUAAUAGCUAACAACAAAUUAGCUGAAAAGAUGUUCUUUAUUUGAUUGCAUCUGUACACUUCUAAGAAUCUUAAUUGUCCAAAGAAUCCAGUUGAUGGAGUUGGGCCAUGGUAGAUUUUCUUCAUUCCUUUCAAGCCAUCUAAUGUUAUCUUCUUUAACGUGUUGAAGGAAUCUUGUGAAUCCUUAUUUGAUUCAUCAAUGCCGAUGAGAUAUUCAAUAUCAUCACAUCCAUUAACAGCAAGUUUUUCCAAUUGUUUCAAAUCCCUCAAUGCAACAAGAUCUGCAACAUUUUUAAUUCCAAAACAUUCAUAUAACACAAGAUUUAACCCAACUGAGGUGGAAAUCAACUUGUAAACCCAAUGCCAAUACUCCAACGGAUUUACUCCAUUCAAUCCCACAAGCUGAUGCUGGGGAUCACGCUCAUAAUAUGACUCAGUAUUUGUUUCUUGAAUGAAUAGUUGUUUCAGAUUGUUCAACCAUGAGACAUGGGGCUCGGUUUCCGUACCUUUUAUACAAAUGGUCAACCUUGAGAGACGACUUAAUAACUCCACCUCCUUCAAGCUAGCAUUGUAUUCUCCUCCACUUGUCAUUGUGUCCCACUCAUCAUAACCAUUCUCCAUAUAGAAUUCAUUGGUCAUAUAGAAUUCCUCCAAAUAUGAUAAUUUUGAUAUAACAUUCCGUGCUACAAAUAACAGUUUUGCCCCACUCAAAUCCAAGCUUCUUAGAUUAACCAGGUUGCCAAUUUCUUCUGGCAGCGUCUUUACGAUUGAAUAACUCAACUUGAGUAUUUCAAGUUUUCUUAAACCUCCUAGCAAGGAGAUUUUGUCUGAAACAUCACAAUGCACUAAAUGUAGUGUCUUUAGAUUUGUGAGACACGAGAAUGAUUGUGGUGUUGGCAUGAUGAAACUAUUUUGACUCCAUUUCCAGAUUCCUCUCAAAUCAAGGACUUCAAGUGAUUUAUUAUCUUCAAAGAAACUCUCUUGAUCUAUCCUUAUAUAAUCAUUUUCUCUGAUUAAUAAACUCUGAAGUUGGGGACAUUCUAGUGGAUCCCGCAACACAUCAUUCGAAUGCUUCAUAAAUGAGAUUCGCUUCUUUUCUUUCAGAUCUUCUGAUUCUCGAAAUUUAAUCAAUCCUCCACCAAUAUUCACAAGAAACCCAUACUCCGCAUCUCCACCAAUACAUAUCGCAACAUCGCGAACUACAUCAUGCAUUUUUACAGAAUUCUCUUCAUCUCCCUCCAACAAUAGGCAACAAUCUUUUAGUUUCUUAAUAAAAGAUAACAACUUGUCAGAUGCAUUGUCUAAAGUCCCACCUACCUUCAAGAAUCGUUCUCCGAUGCCAUAAUCUCUCAGAUCAAGCAAAUCAAUAUUGUAAUCUUCAGGAAACAAGCAGCAAAACAAAAAGCACUUCUUGAUUUCUGGCGACUCUAACCGUUCGAAACUAAAGCUUAAGCUUGUUACCACUUCUGACAUUAUACCAUCUAGACCACUUCGAGUAGGAUCUGAUAAUACAUUCAAUGCAUCACUCCAUACAAAUUCUUCCUUCACUGAUGUCAGUACCGAUCCUAGCACAGAAAUCGCCAAAGGCGAGCCCUUGCAUUUUGCUACAAUCUUCUCUGCAAUAGGUUUUAAAUUGGGCAAUGUAACUACAUACCCUGCUUUUGAUUCAAAUAAAUCCCAUGAUUCAACCUCGGAGAGAGGCUCCACCUUGAUUAUUUUCUGAAGUUUCAUUUGAUCACAAACUUCCUGCUUACGAGUAGUGACUACAAGUUUACAGCCUCUAGAAAGUCCGAUAUCCUCCACCUUAAGUGGUUUCCACACGUCGUCCAAAAUUAUCAACAACUUCUCCUCUGUUUCCAACCUUUUAAACAAUCUGUUUGCUCUUACAUUUGUUGAAGUAGCUUCAAGAUUCAUUCCUAGCCGCCGUGCAAAGUCAUCUUGGAUUUUCAUCAAGUCUGGAUCUUUGGACACAAUGACCAUUAUAACUUUGUUGAAGAGUUUGUGUCCAUCAAGUUCAUUGUUGAUUUUUUCCACAAGAGUUGUCUUCCCUAUACCACCCAUGCCAUGCACGCCAAUAGAUCUGAUAUUAGAAUCUCCCAAUGCCACCAUCAAAUCAUUCAUAAGAGAAUCCCUCGGCAAAAUGUUCUCAACAAUGGUAGUAGUGCGGACAAGUUCAACAUUUGGAGGAGGUCGUGGAUGCGCUAUUCCAGUUACAAGGAAGUCAUUCACCUUUUCUUGAAGGGUAUGGAAGGUCUCUGUCAUCCUCACUGCUUGUUUACUUAGCCUGAGACGUGAGCUAAGAUCUGGACAGAGUCCCUUGAAGCAUUUCUUGUUAAUAUUGACUUCAUCGAUGAAAUGCCUCUGUUGUUCUUCAACUUUUUCCACGGUCGUGUCUUCGAGCCACUUUUGCACAUCUAGAAAGAGCUCGUCCGAAUUCCUUUGAGCCGCCUCCGCUAAGGUUUGUACUCUUUGUCUUGUUUGUUGUAAUUCUGAAACUUGGUUUUGAAGAUUCUGAAUGUUUGUUUUGUAGCUGGUAAGAUAGCGGAUUUGUUGCUUAAGAG
rnacentral:lncRNA from 1 species